rnacentral:rRNA from 1 species
GUGUCAGCAGCCGCGGUAAGACGAACCGUGCGAACGUUGUUCGGAAUCACUGGGCUUAAAGGGCGCGUAGGCGGGCUGCCAAGUCCGGGGUGAAAUCCUCUGGCCCAACCAGAGAACGGCCUCGGAUACUGGCGGCCUGGAGGGGGGUAGGGGCGAGCGGAACUGUGGGUGGAGCGGUGAAAUGCGUUGAUAUCCACAGGAACUCCGGUGGCGAAGGCGGCUCGCUGGACCCCACCUGACGCUGAGGCGCGAAAGCCAGGGGAGCGAACGGGAUUAGAAACCCCUGUAGUCC